GUAGGAGCUGGAGGGGAAGGGGAAGUGGGGAGGGAGAGAGAAGCCUGGGGAGAUGAGUGGAGAGGAGCAAGACACAGGUGGAAAAAUAUGUUUCCAGUGUUUGUGAAAAACAGACGUGCAAUAUUCUUAUGUUUGUAGAAACACUGAGUUUCUCUUAAUGAGGGAAAAUACAAAAUAGCUCUGCUAAAUCUCAAAAUAAAACCAGAGACAAGACUAAAGUGCUAAUACCAAUGAGGGGUUCUUCAGGGAAAGGAGUUAUGUGAAUAAGAAAGCUGAGCUCCACUUUUUCCUUCAAGAUACCUGGAAAAACCCUGGAGAAUUCAAUUCCCUUCCUUUCCUUGCCUUUCUUGGGUUAUUACUAAGGUGCAGGCAGCCAGAUACCGUCACAACGCCCAGGCAAUAAAGGCUUGGUUGGAAAGACAGACCUGCUACUCUCUCUUCUACAGCUGGGACUACACGGUGCUGGUUAGGAUUUACACCAGGUCUGAAAAUGCCCCCAAGGUGGCUUCUGUCCACAGGCUAACUAAUGGAGACGGUCCGGUCUCAGCUAUAGAUCCCUCCGGUUCCCUAUUCCAUGUAGCUAUCUUUCUCGACUAUAGGAGAGUAACUGAGGUCAAUUGCCACUGAAUGAUGCACACCAUACCAUCUUUUUACGUCCGCCUAGUGAGACAGUUCCAACAGAGAGAGAUUUUCCCCGGAGCCCCCCAGUGAGUUGCUCUCUGGGCUUCUCUGCUCCUUACAGCUACAGGUUAUGCACAAGCUAAUGGGGCUAAUUGCUCCAGCUGAAGCCCCUGUACCAUUUCCCUGCCUCUUGCCCGAAUGUCAUUGUCUUCUUGGGCUUCUGGGUUUCCACAUUUUGUAGUCUUCAUCAUUUAACUGCUGCUGGAAAGAGGGGAAGUUACCACAACUGGAGGUUGGUGGCCUUGACUGUUAUUCUCUGCUCCAGAGAGAUUUUGUUUUUCGAAUCAUAGAAUCAAGUGAUUUAAGAAAAAGAAUCCUCAGUGCUCAGGCUCUGCCUUUCAGCUUCAAAGCCUUUUACAAGCUGCAAUUCAUUAAACACAAUAAUCGUUUGAGGUCAGUGGUCCGACCUCUGCAGAGAGAGGGGCCAAGGCCUCCCACCCCACCCUCUUUCUCUUUGUGUUCCCGACCACAGCAGGCAGGACGGGGCGGGAUGAGGGUGCUCCCAGUGGGCGGCUGCCCAUGGCCCUCUGCCCAGGCCUGCCUUUCCCUUCCUCCCUGCCAGGGCUCCACGCUCCACUUACCCAUCGGGAACAUGAUCUUGCCUCCUCCAGGCUGCAUUUGUCUGCCUUUCACAAAACAGUCAACCCACAUUUUUUUGUUUCCUUAAUGUAAGUGAGGAAUCUCCUAGCCAGAGAGCCCAACCAAGCAUGACAUUUCCCCCCUGGAAUGGAUUUCUACCUGCUUGACCACUUGAGGACCAACAGCCAAGAAGGAUCACACCCUCUGUCAACAUGAGACCAAGCCAGCGUGUCGCCCACAGCAGGCAGGCCCAUUACCCCAACAUGUGCCCUGGGCAUCCCAGCCAGACCCAGGUCUGCAUAUGUUUUCUCCACUGCUCUCUCCUCCUGUCUGAAGGUCCAUAUCCUGCCCUCCCACUGAAGGCUCAGCAUCUCUCCUAGCAACUUCACCAAGGCUUUUCUAUCUGCUCCAGCCCAAAUGGAUCCCUUUCUUCUCUGAAUUCUUUACAUGUUUGUGCUCAUCAAUACUCAAAA